UACGUAGGGUGCGAGCGUUAAUCGGAAUUACUGGGCGUAAAGCGUGCGUAGACGGUUGCGUAAGUCAGAUGUGAAAGCCCCCGGGCUCAACCUGGGAAUUGCAUUUGAGACUGCGUAGCUAGGGUGCGGAAGAGGGAAGCGGAAUUUCCGGUGUAGCGGUGAAAUGCGUAGAUAUCGGAAGGAACACCAGUGGCGAAAGCGGCUUCCUGGUCCAGCACCGACGUCAGGCACGAAAGCGUGGGGAGCAAACAGG
rnacentral:rRNA from 1 species